CAGAGGACGCCGCAACCGUUAGGCAGGCGGGCCUUGCAACCAGGUGGACGUAGGUUUCAAUCCCAGGUCAGGUCACCGUUCCCAUGCACAAGUUACUCAACCUGAAAUCACUCAGGUCAAUAUCACUCAGGCAAAAGGAUGCAAAAUAAGUGAAAAACAAAUAAACUGCAGAACAGGAAAGAGAGAGGGGUAAACCGGAGAAGACAGA